AAAAGAUAGACAUGAGAUAAGGAGUAGGCAUGGUAGACAUUUCUAGAUUAUUUAUGAAAAUGUUGUAGAAUUCAUUUUUUUUUUUGGUCUGACCUUUGGCAAUGGUGCUGAGGAAGGGAAAGCCAGCCCAUCAGGCAAGGCUCUGUUUUCUGCAUUUUAUCCCGUUUGAUUCUUCUCGUUAGGAUUGGAGCAAAUAAUUUCAAUAUGUUCUUCGCUGUGUUUUAUCAUAGUGACCCUUCAUUUAAAGGUACUUUUAACAAUUGACUUAAAGAACACUGAGAUGUGAUAUUUAUUGUAUUGAAGUGCAUUGUUUUACUUCUUAUUAUAAUUUUUAUUGACACAUUUAUUAUCCUAUGUCUGCUUAACGUUGGCUUUUUUAAAGACUGAAGGAGCAUUAGGUUAUGCGUAUUGGGUCUGCACAACAUUGCAAGAUAAAAGCAACAGAGAAACAGAGCUGUACCAGUACAACAUCCUCCAGAUGAAUGCUAUUCCAGCAGCACAAGUUAUUUUGAAUAAAUAUGUAGAAAGAAUUCAGAAUUAUGCCCCAGCUUUCACAAUGUUGGGUUACUUAAACGAACAUCUACAACUGAAAAAGGAAGCAGCAAAUGCAUACCAAAGGGCAAUUUUGUUGUUACAGACUGCAGAAGACCAAGAUACUUACAAUGUUGCAAUAAGAAAUUACGGCAGAUUGUUAUGUUCCACUGGUGAAUAUGAUAAAGCUAUCCAGGCUUUUAAGUCAACACCCCUUGAAGUGUUAGAAGACAUCAUAGGUUUUGCAUUGGCUU
rnacentral:lncRNA from 1 species